GAGCCUACCUUUACUGUCCUGAGACCCUCAGGUGACUACCAAGGAAGAACACAGACUCCAGUGGGCAUCUCUCAGGCAGACCAUCACGGCUGGAGUGUAUAUCCACCUAACACGCAAGCUCCAGUGGGUGUCUCUCAGGCAGACCAUCAUGGAGACAGCUGGAGUGCUCAUCCACCUGACACACAAG